AUACGUAGGUGGCAAGCGUUGUCCGGAUUUACUGGGUGUAAAGGGCGUGUAGGCGGAGAUGCAAGUCAGGAGUGAAAUCUAGGGGCUCAACCCCUAAACUGCUUUUGAAACUGUAUCCCUUGAGUAUCGGAGAGGCAGGCGGAAUUCCUAGUGUAGCGGUGAAAUGCGUAGAUAUUAGGAGGAACACCAGUGGCGAAAGCGGCCUGCUGGACGACAACUGACGCUGAGGCGCGAAAGCGUGGGGAGCAAACAGGAUUAGAUUCCCUGGUAGUCCACGCUGUAAACGAUGAAUACUAGGUGUGGGGGGACUGACCCCCUCCGUGCCGCAGUUAACACAAUAAGUAGUCCACCUGGGGAGUACGAUCGCAAGAUUGAAACUCAAAGGAAUUGACGGGG
rnacentral:rRNA from 1 species